AAGUUAGAAGUUGUGCAGGCAUAGGAGGCAAGAUGCGACGGCAAAGCACGAAGGUCGAGAAGGUGAAGGUGUGACACUACUAUCGCUCCUUCAACUUCACACUCUCACCUUCACAACUUCGCACUUUCGAUUUUGCCUUUUUUUAUUGCAUUCAACAAAUAUCGUUUAUUUACAUAGAAAUUGAUGCAGCACCGUACUCGCCUGAGGUUUGCUGAUUAUAUAAUCUCAGAUGUUAUUCGAAUGCAUGUGCUAGAGGCCAUUGUGCUUACUAUGAAUGUUUAUUAAUAUUUUACUGUGUUAGGUGACAUAUAUGUUUACCUAUGCUGACUAUGCCUAAUCAAAAACACAUUAUACUCCUUAUAAAAUGUAAUGCCCACCAUAAUGUGUACAUAUGCACUACCAGACUCAGGACCCCCCCCCCCCCCCCCCCCUUUGAAAAUUUUGUAUUAUUAAUUUCACAAUACACAUAGUAAUAUUUAUUAAUUUCUCAUAGUAAUAUUACUAAAAAUAUGCCUCAGAAUUACUAUCCCUGAGAUGCCUAUAUUUCCAUCAAAGCUUUUCUAGAUAGUGAAAAUUCUUGAUUGUUAAAACCCUGAUACCCCAGAACACAACUGUGGUCCAGAAGAAGUUCAAAGUUUAUCGUAGAAAUAUAUAGGAAAAAACCUUUAAACGUUGGUCAAUUUGUGAAAUUAUGAGGCAAACCCAUCAAACUGUGGAAUUUUUGUCAAUAUUUGUAAGUUAUACAGUAUUUUAGAAGAGUUUCAUAUAAAAAAAAUUGUUAAAAAUAUCAAUGCAAGAACUGCUGUUCACAUGAGUGAUGUGGCCCAUGGGUCUCUUGAGCUUUUUGUAUUGCAAUUUGAAAAUAUUGAAAAUAAGUAUUGUCAGUUGUUAUAAUGGUAAUAGGAAAUUUUUUUAUAAAAAACAUUUUACUGCAGCUUAAAUCUGGGUCUGUAUGAUAUAUACAAGGCCCUCCAUGAAACACUUCAAACAUAUCACUUAUCUCGGCCAACUUUUUUCAUUCUAGAGUAUGGAAGUGAACUGAUGAGCCAACAAGAGUUCAAGCAGCCUAUGGACAGGCUGUCAGAGCAACUACUGUUUCAAGGACAAAAUAAAAACCUACAUUCCAACAACACAACUAAUGAUAGAUUUCUUCAGGGAGCAGCAGGAUACUGCAACUUUCCAAACCCUGCAUCAAUCAAAGAAGGCAGUCAUCAUUUGGAUACUCAGGGGUACAAACUACAACUGGCUCUGAUGAUGAUCAGACAUGGUGAUAGAACGCCUCUACACACCCUAGCAAACAGACCAAACCCGAGAAUCAGUUGUAAAUUUUCAAAGAAUGAAAAACAAACACAUUGGAUUGUUGAUAAAUUCAUCACCAGAUUGCAAAAUGCGGAUAAAGAUGGCAGUUUUGAAUCCAUGCAACGUUAUCCUAAUCAGCCAUAUUGCCGGCAAUCAUAUUUAACACCUCAAGGAGCUGUGCAAGAGUUGUUAAAUGGUUUACAAGCAAAACAUAAGUACAUUGAUGGAUUGGAUUUGUUUCAACAAGAUUUCAGUGAAAGAAAAGUGCUUGUGAAGAGCACAGUGUACCCAAGAACAUACCAGAGUGCAAAUGCCUUUAUGUUUGGAUUUUUGUCAGAUUAUGACACUCGAUUGAAAAUUUAUAAAGCUAAAACAGAUUUCUGUUCAGAGAAAGACUCAGGAUUAAACUGUCAUUGUCCAGGCUUGGAAAAGUACAGUAAACCACUGAAGAAUAUGAGAAAAAUGAGCAAACCUCUUCUACAAAGCAUUGCGAACUUCAAACGAAAAAUGAGCAGCAUCCUCAGCGUGGAUGUUAAAGAGAUAAGGUCACUUACACAUGUGUUUGAUUCACUGAUGGUUCGAGUUUGCCAUGAUGUUCCUUUACCAUGUAAUAAAGCUAGAGACUCUUGUGUAGAUAGAACAAUAGUGGAUACCCUGUGGGGUUUAGUUGGAGAUGACUUACUGCAUCAUUAUCUGUAUAACGAAAAUCACUUAAAAACUCAGCAUUUAAAGUUUCAUCCAUUGUUAGUAGAAAUGUAUGCAAGGAUGAAAAAUAUCACCAAAAGAAGUUCUUCUACUAAAUUUGUAUUAUACUCUGGGCAUGAUAUAACAUUGACUCCAUUUCUAAUGUUGUUAGGUAUAUAUGAUGGCAAAUGGCCUCCCUAUGCUUCAACAUUAGCACUGGAACUAUAUAGCAAGGAGGAGGGAUCAAAACUUCACUAUUUCUUGAAAGUUAUUUACAAUGGCAUAGAUAAAACAAGAGAAUUGAAGUUUUGUAGAGGGUUAGACAUGUGCAAGUUUAAAUAUUUUGAACAGUUUGUUAAUACCCAUCUUGAAAAUAUGGGACUUGAUGACUAUGACUCGGAAUGUCUUUCUUCUUGACAUCAGUCUUUUUAUUAGGAUGUCAUUUUCAUAACCGUUUUCACCUCGUUAACCGUGUUUAAUUAAAUGACAGAAUUGUACAUGCAUUACAAAACUUCAAAUAUGAAACACUUAAUAAAAUGCUUUAUAACUGC
rnacentral:misc_RNA from 1 species